rnacentral:rRNA from 1 species
CCUACGGGAGGCAGCAGUAGGGAAUCUUCCACAAUGGGCGCAAGCCUGAUGGAGCAACACCGCGUGAGUGAAGAAGGGUUUCGGCUCGUAAAGCUCUGUUGUUGGAGAAGAACGUGCGUGAGAGAAACUGUUCACGCAGUGAAGGUCUCCAACCAGAAAGGAACGGCUAACUACGAGCAAGCAGCCGCGGUAAUACGUAGGUGGCAAGCGUUAUCCGGAUUUAUUGGGCGUAAAGCGAGCGCAGGGGGUUGCUGAGGGCUGAUGUGAAAGGCUUCGGCUUAACCGAAGAAGUGCAUCGGAAACCGGGCGACUUGAGAGCAGAUGUGGACAGUGGAACUCCAUGGGUAGCGGUUGAAUGCGUAGAUAUAUGGAA